GGAAGGAUCAUUAUCUAUUCCAUGAGGUGCGGUCGCGGCCCUCGGCGGGAGCAACAGCUGCCGUCGGGCGGUAGAGGUAACACUUUCACGCGCCGCAUGUCUGAAUCCUUUUUUUACGAGCACCUUUCGUUCUCCUUCGGCGGGGCAACCUGCCGUUGGAACCUAUCAAAACCUUUUUUUGCAUCUAGCAUUACCUGUUCUGAUACAAACAAUCGUUACAACUUUCAACAAUGGAUCUCUUGGCUCUGGCAUCGAUGAAGAACGCAGCGAAAUGCGAUAAGUAGUGUGAAUUGCAGAAUUCAGUGAAUCAUCGAAUCUUUGAACGCACAUUGCGCCCCUUGGUAUUCCAUGGGGCAUGCCUGUUCGAGCGUCAUCUACACCCUCAAGCUCUGCUUGGUGUUGGGCGUCUGUCCCGCCUCUGCGCGCGGACUCGCCCCAAAUUCAUUGGCAGCGGUCCUUGCCUCCUCUCGCGCAGCACAUUGCGCUUCUCGAGGUGCGCGGCCCGCGUCCACGAAGCAACAUUACCGUCUUUGACCUCGGAUCAGGUAGGGAUACCCGCUGAACUUAAGCAUAUCAAUAAACCGGAAGAAAAAAUUAUCUAUGCCAUGAGGUGCGGUAGCGGCCCUCGCCGGGAGCAACAGCUGCCGACAGGUGAUACAGCUACCCCUUUCACGCGCCUAAGUCAGAAUCCUUUUUUUACCAGCUCUUUCGUCCCCUCGGCGGGGCACCUGCCAAAGAACCUAUAAACCUUUUUUUUCAUCUGCAAUACUGUUCUGAUACAAACAUCGUUACACUUUCACAUUGGAUCUCUGGCUCUGGCAUCGAUGAAGAAGCAGGAAAUGCGAUGAGUAGUGUGAAUUGCAGAAGUCGUGACUCUCAAUCUUGACGCACUUGCCCUUGCUAUCAUGCGCAUGCUGUCAGCUCUCACCUCAGCCUGCUUGGUGUGGGCGUGUCCCUUCGCCGAUGCCAUCAUGACGACUGCUCUCUCUGCAGUAGUGGCUUGUUCGCGACGACCUAGGUGCCACUUCCAGCUUUAUACAUGGAGUAGCUACUUACAUAUCUAGAGGAGCGAGU
rnacentral:rRNA from 1 species